AUGUACCACGCGUCCACUGCGGUUGUGAGCGCGCCGUCCGCACCCACCUGACGACUGCGUGCUAGGUUUUGUUCGCC
rnacentral:sRNA from 1 species